rnacentral:rRNA from 1 species
GUACGGGAGGCAGCAGUAAGGAAUGUUGGUCAAUGGCCGGAAGGCUGAACCAGCCAUCCCGCGUGCAGGAUGACGGCCCUAUGGGUUGUAAACUGCUUUUGUACCUGAAGAAACCUGCUUACGAGUAGACAGUUGCCGGUAAGGUAUGAAUAAGCAUCGGCUAACUCCGUGCCAGCAGCCGCGGUAAUACGGAGGAUGCAAGCGUUAUCCGGAUUCAUUGGGUUUAAAGGGUGCGCAGGUGGGAAAAUAAGUCAGUGGUGAAAUACUGCCGCUUAACGGUAGAAUUGCCAUUGAUACUGUUUUUCUUGAGCAUGGUUGAGGUAGGUGGAAUGUGUUGUGUAGCGGUGAAAUGCAUAGAUAUGACACAGAACGCCGAUUGCGAAGGCAGCUUACUAAGCCAUUACUGACGCUGAGGCACGAAAGCGUGGGGAUCAAACAGGAUUAGAAACCCGAGUAGUCC